CCUACGGGUGGCAGCGGUGAGGAAUAUUGGUCAAUGGGCGCGAGCCUGAACCAGCCAAGUAGCGUGAAGGAUGACUGCCCUACGGGUUGUAAACUUCUGUUAUAAAGGAAUAAAGUGAGGCACGUGUGCCUUUUUGUAUGUACUUUAUGAAUAAGGAUCGGCUAACUCCGUGACAGCAGCCGCGGUAAUACGGAGGAACCGAGCGUUAUCCGGAUUUAUUGGGUUUAAAGGGAGCGUAGAUGGGUUGUUAAGUCAGUUGUGAAAGUUUGCGGCUCAACCGUAAAAUUGCCAUUGCUACUGGCAGCCUUGAGUACAGUUGUGGUAGGCGGCAUUCGUGUUGUCGCGG
rnacentral:rRNA from 1 species